rnacentral:rRNA from 1 species
AUUGAACGCUGGCGGCAGGCCUAACACAUGCAAGUCGAACGGUAACAGGAAACAGCUUGCUGUUUCGCUGACGAGUGGCGGACGGGUGAGUAAUGUCUGGGAAACUGCCUGAUGGAGGGGGAUAACUACUGGAAACGGUAGCUAAUACCGCAUAACGUCGCAAGACCAAAGAGGGGGACCUUCGGGCCUCUUGCCAUCGGAUGUGCCCAGAUGGGAUUAGCUAGUAGGUGGGGUAACGGCUCACCUAGGCGACGAUCCCUAGCUGGUCUGAGAGGAUGACAAGCCACACUGGAACUGAGACACGGUCCAGACUCCUACGGGAGGCAGCAGUGGGGAAUAUUGCACAAUGGGCGCAAGCCUGAUGCAGCCAUGCCGCGUGUAUGAAGAAGGCCUUCGGGUCGUAAAGUACUUUCAGCGGGGAGGAAGGGAGUAAAGUUAAUACCUUUGCUCAUUGACGUUACCCGCAGAAGAAGCACCGGCUAACUCCGUGCCAGCCGCCGCUGUAAAAC